GGGAGGCAGCAGUGGGGAAUAUUGGACAAUGGGCGCAAGCCUGAUCCAGCCAUACCGCGUGGGUGAAGAAGGCCUUCGGGUUGUAAAGCCCUUUUGUUGGGAAAGAAAUCCAGCUGGCUAAUACCCGGUUGGGAUGACGGUACCCAAAGAAUAAGCACCGGCUAACUUCGUGCCAGCAGCCGCGGUAAUACGAAGGGUGCAAGCGUUACUCGGAAUUACUGGGCGUAAAGCGUGCGUAGGUGGUCGUUUAAGUUCGUUGUGAAAGCCCUGGGCUCAACCUGGGAACUGCAGUGGAUACUGGACGACUAGAGUGUGGUAGAGGGUAGCGGAAUUCCUGGUGUAGCAGUGAAAUGCGUAGAGAUCAGGAGGAACAUCCAUGGCGAAGGCAGCUACCUGGACCAACACUGACACUGAGGCACGAAAGCGUGGGGAGCAAACAGGAUUAGAUACCCUGGUAGUCCACGCCCUAAACGAUGCGAACUGGAUGUUGGGUGCAAUUUGGCACGCAGUAUCGAAGCCAACGCGUUAAGUUCGCCGCCUGGGGAGUACGGUCGCAAGACUGAAACUCAAAGGAAUUGACGGGGGCCCGCACAAGCGGUGGAGUAUGUGGUUUAAUUCGAUGCAACGCGAAGAACCUUACCUGGCCUUGACAUGUCGAGAACUUUCCAGAGAUGGAUGGGUGCCUUCGGGAACUCGAACACAGGUGCUGCAUGGCUGUCGUCAGCUCGUG
rnacentral:rRNA from 1 species